rnacentral:rRNA from 1 species
GACGAACGCUGGCGGCGUGCCUAAUACAUGCAAGUUGAGCGCUGAAGGUUGGUACUUGUACCGACUGGAUGAGCAGCGAACGGGUGAGUAACGCGUGGGGAAUCUGCCUUUGAGCGGGGGACAACAUUUGGAAACGAAUGCUAAUACCGCAUAAAAACUUUAAACACAAGUUUUAAGUUUGAAAGAUGCAAUUGCAUCACUCAAAGAUGAUCCCGCGUUGUAUUAGCUAGUUGGUGAGGUAAAGGCUCACCAAGGCGAUGAUACAUAGCCGACCUGAGAGGGUGAUCGGCCAAAUUGGGACUGGAACACGGCCCAAACUACUACGGGAGGGAGCAGGAGGGGAUCUUCGGCAAAGGACGAAAGUCUGACCGAGCAACGACGGGUGAGUGCAGGAGGUAUUCGGGUCGUAAAACUCUGUUAGUAGAGAAGAACGUUGAUGAGAGUGGAACGCUCAUCUAGUGACGGUAACUACACAAAAAGCGACGGCUAACUACGUG